AUCCAGACUCCUACGGGAGGCAGCAGUGGGGGAUAUUGCACAAUGGGGGGAACCCUGAUGCAGCGACGCCGCGUGGGUGAAGGAGCGUUUCGGCGCGUAAAGCCCUAUCGGCAGGGAAGAAGGAGGACGGUACCUGACUAAGAAGCCCCGGCUAACUACGUGCCAGCAGCCGCGGUAAUACGUAGGGGGCAAGCGUUAUCCGGAAUUACUGGGUGUAAAGGGUGAGUAGGCGGCAUGGUAAGCCAGAUGUGAAAGCCUUGGGCUUAACCCGAGGAUUGCAUUUGGAACUAUCAAGCUAGAGUACAGGAGAGGAAAGCGGAAUUCCUAGUGUAGCGGUGAAAUGCGUAGAUAUUAGGAGGAACACCAGUGGCGAAGGCGGCUUACUGGACUGUAACUGACGUUGAGGCUCGAAAGCGUGGGGAGCAAACAGGAUUAGAUACCCGGGUACC
rnacentral:rRNA from 1 species